CCUACCUCACAGCCAACUCUUCUUCCUGACAGUAGUCCCUCAAUGACCAACAGCCGACCUUAAGUUCACCACCAGAUGCUUCAUGACAAACUCACAAAGGCAAUAGCCACAAAGGGCCAACAACUUUCCCUGGGCAUCUAUCCAAGCCUGUCUUCAUGGUCCCUUCCAACAGCUGGACGUAUUGGCUGCCAGAUGUCCCUGAAACCGCAGGCUGCCUUACCUAUGUCAGGGAAUUUGGCUUCCCUGAUUGACCCAUCACUGAGAUCAUCACUAGCAGAAGGGAUACUGUUCCAGAACUAGCAGCCUCCAUUUCCUCCUCCUUGGGAUGUGUGUUGUGAGAAGCUCAUGUCACAUAAAAGGCAACAUGUGGGCACCUAAGCAGAUAAUCCCCAACUGAACACCCACUCAACAACUAGUGCCAACUGCCAUCCAUGAGCAUGCACCAUCUUGGAUGUUCCAGCCCAGUCAAGCCCCAGAUGACUGCAGCUCCAGCCAACAACACACGGAACAGAAGAACCACCCAGCUGAGCCCAGCCAAUCCCUGAGCCCAGGGAAUUAUGAUGAUGAAACUAUACCCUAAAGAGUUAAUGAAACCAAUGACAGAAAUUACUGAGUUUGCAGGAUAACAGAUAAGAAAAAAAAACAACUUGCUGAGAUGCUGAAAUUCCCUCC
rnacentral:lncRNA from 10 species